UCAUCAUUUUCCGCAAAGUUAAUUUGACCCCUGUAUUUGAUAACACGGUAUUUUCUAUUUUUCUAAUUUGAUCAGAUUCUCUUAAACAUAUGCCUUUGCUUUGAAAACGAAUGUUUUUCAUUGAACAAUUUAACAGGUUUUUCUAUGCAAAAAGUAAAAUCACACUUUUGGAUGUUUCGAUAACUUGGAGUUCAUCGUUUAUUUUGUUGGCAAGUAUAUUAUCAUCCUUUACCACCGACAAAACAUAGCUGAUCUUAAAUAUACAUUAUCUCAUUGACACUAUACAUCAUGUAUUGUGUUUCAACGCUAAAUAACGCCGACGAGAAAAGGCAUUACUUGACUUACAAAAGCUAUAUUUUUAUGCAGCCUAGUUGGUCAAAUGGUAAACGGCGCUGGAAAUAAUGCAGGUGCUUUGCCAUGAUGUCAAAGAAGCAAUGGUUCUAUUUAGCAAUUGUUAUUUUACAAACGUAAAAGAGAGGAUUGUGUUUGUGUGUUUUGUAUAUGUAUUUUGUGGCAAAACCAAGACUGUGAAAGUUAAGCCAUAAUGGUGAUGCUAAUCUUAUGAAGUACAUUUAAUCAUAUUAGUAAGCUGAUUGAAUAAUGAAAAAAGUUAUUUUUAAGACAUUGAUUUAUCAUUCGAAUUUCACAUUCUUACAAGUCAGGGAUAAGUGGUGUAUCAUCGAAUUAUAGGGGCCAAACUAUAAACCCUAAUUUAUCAGUGCCGCUUUAAAGUUACUAUGCAAUAUCAUUAGAAGUUACAAUAUUUUCGCAUUAUCAUCUAUGAUAGUUAAAUCUUGUGACUUGUGUAAAAUAACAUUUUUAUAUCUGUAGUAUGUCAGAUAAGUACGAUAUCUUUCUCAUUUCUCUCUCAUAAAGUUCAAUAAAAAAAAAUCAUGGAUACCAAAAGGAAACAGUGCUAGAUUGCUUUUUAUUU
rnacentral:lncRNA from 1 species